UAGGAUAGAGAGAGAAACAGAGAGAAAGAAAGAGAGAGUGAGAGAGAGAGAGAGGGUGGGAGGAAGAGAGAAAGAGAAAGAGAGAGAGAUAGAGAGAGACGAAGGAGACCUCAUUGAUAAGGAUCAAAAUAUACGGUACAUCGCAUAUAUUUUAUUCUACGUUCACCUUAUUUAUAUCGAUUUUUUCACGUUUGUUUUCGGUAUAUUACGUGUCUAAGGAAGAAGAGAAGGGAAAAGAGAUCGAAAUAAUAGUUCUUGCGACGUGCGCCGUACGACGUAGUUAUCGCGUCGUAGGCGUAGUAGAGAAAGAGACGUAUGCAUGUAAGAAGGUGAAAGGUCGUGAUGCUGUUCACGAAGAAUUCUUGGCAAGGUUUAAAAGGGUUCAAAUCUCGCUCGAUUUAGUUCGAAAGAUCUCGUAUUUGAUUUUUCCUCUUUUUUCCUUUCUCCUUGUCUGUUUCUCUCUCUCUCUCUCUCUCUUUCUCUCUCUCUCUGUCUCUCUCUCUCUCUAUCUAUCUCUCUUUCUAUCUUCUAUACUUGUUCUCUUUCUAUCUUUCUCUCUGCUCCUUUCUAAACCGAUUCUCUACGUUCGUUCAGCCAAAGCGCGUACGACGCUGGAUAUUUCGAUGUCUCCGAGAGACGACCAGUCACGUUUUCUUUUUCCAAUACUUUUCAACGAAGUCUCCUCGUCAUAUCGGAUACGUUCGAAUACAGGCGCCUAUCAUUUAACAUUCCAUUGGUAUCGUCGAUUUAACGCCGCGAGGGUAACCAACAUGGCAGCGGAAUCAAAAAUUGCUCUACCAUCGUACGGUGGAUAAUGAGGGCCUUACAAGUGAGAGAUUAGCUAGAUCUCAAGACCUGACAUUUCAAAUAAAGGACAACUACGAUGCUUGGAUAACAACGUUGUCUCGAUGCGAAUGAGAGAAAGUGAAAUAAUGUGCUCUAAAUAACGAAAUAAAGGGUUAAACUGGCAGAGAGAGAGAGAGAGAGAGAGAGAAAAAGUAAGAGAGAAAGAGAGAGAGAGAGAGAUAGACUUGGCAACGUAACAACUGAUCAGCCGCCCCUUCAGUCAAAGUUUGAAUCUUUCAACGGUCACGCAAGUUCGUCCAAGUGCCAUUUACGCUUUGGUGGACGAUAAAUUCUCUCCUUCACGAUGGAUGUUAACGACGAAGUUUUGGUUUGCGCGGCCGAAAUUAUAAAAGAUCGAUUGUACUUUGCAACAUUAAAAACAAUGGUAAAACCAAAAAGUACACCCAAUACUCAUUACUUCAGCAUUGACGAUGAGUUAGUAUAUGAGAAUUUUUAUGCAGACUUUGGUCCAUUAAAUCUAGCUAUGUUGUAUCAAUAUUGUCAAAAAGUUAAUAAGAAACUUAAGGCAGUAACGCUGAGUAAAAAGAAAAUUGUACAUUAUACUACGAUGUACCCAGAAAAAAGAGUGAAUGCUGCCUUUCUUAUAGGAAGCUAUGCUAUACUGUACUGCAAACGUACAGUGCAAGAAGCUUACGAGUGUUUGACCAAUAGUCCAAACAGUCCACCAUUUAUGAUGUUCCGUGAUGCCUCCGUUGGAUCACCAUGUUACAAAAUAUCAUUAUAUGAAUGUCUUAGUGCUAUAGAUAAGUGCCAUCGUCUUGGUUUUUUUAACUUUCAAAAUUUUCGAGUUAAAGAAUACGAACAUUUCGAAAAAGUUGAGAAUGGAGAUUUAAAUUGGAUAGUUCCUGGAAAAUUCAUUGCUUUCUGUGGCCCACAUGCAAAAUCUAAAAUUGAGAAUGGAUAUCCAUUGCAUGCACCAGAAUCAUAUUUUAAUUAUUUUCGUCGUAAUAAUGUCUCUACGGUUAUACGACUUAACACAAAAAUCUAUGAUGCUUCGAGUUUCAUAGAAGCAGGUUUUGAACACAAAGAUCUUUUCUUUGUUGAUGGUUCAACGCCAACAGACUCGAUUAUGCGUCAAUUUCUUAAAAUAUCAGAAAAUGCAAGCGGUGCUGUAGCUGUACAUUGCAAGGCAGGUCUCGGCAGAACUGGUUCUCUUAUAGGAUGUUAUAUUAUGAAACAUUAUCAUUUAACUGCUCACGAAACAAUUGCAUGGAUCAGAAUAUGUAGACCAGGUUCUGUCAUUGGACAUCAACAGCAAUGGCUAGAAAAAAAAGAGGCGUUUCUUCACUCAUUGCUGAAAGAACCACUACAUUCUGAGAAUAGGAAUCCAGUACAUAAAUAUGGUAUAUAUUCAAUAAUGGGAAGACCUAAAAACGCAUUCCUAUUAAAUCUAAACAACGCUCGUGUGGUACAAGAUAAUGUUUCUGGAAUAAUGCACCGGGUGGAUGGAAUUAAAUUAGAUGAUUCUACCCCUGUUGCAAGUCUUAAAACAACAAAUAGACACUCAUCCUCGACUUUAACGCAAGGUGAUAAAUUAAAUCAAAUUAAAGCUAGAAGAAGAAGACUACGUGUAAAUCAGUCUUCUCUCGGCACCCCUACUGGAUCAUCAACAGUUGUUCAUCCAUAUUUAGGACCAUUACUGCAAACUAGAAAUAAAAAAGGAACAGCUAUUGCUACAUUAGCUGGAAAUAAGGAAAAAGGUCCUUUAAAAAGAUUACUCGCGAGGUCUACAGCAACAACAGUUGUUAAAAGAAAUUGUAGAAACAGUUGGCUGGUCAACAAUAGCUGCGAUCCACCUACCCGCCGUGUUAGAUCUAAACCAACAACACAGAUUCAUAAUAUCAACAACAAUACAACUACUACUACUCCUGUUACAUCUAUAUCUAUAUCAAAACCGGUGAGAAAGGCGAGUAUGAGAACUUCAUGCAUCUCAGAGGUCCAUGCUACAAACUCGUCUACAAAUCAUUCGGUUGCACAACCACAACCAGGCAUGAAUAUGAUUCUUAGGUCAGCAGACCGAGUUACCCGCUAUCAUUCUCUCAGGCAAUAAAUACACUAUAUGUUCUUAACAGAAACUCAACGGAAUAAACUUGACAGAAAUUUAUAUCGUCGUGACGAGCGUUUAAAAAGUAUGUCCACUCGACAAGACGUUUCCCAAAGGACUGAACGCUACGAGGAGCUCGAGGAAUGCAGGUAAAAUAAAUCUAUUCCGCCCUUUACCAACAGGAAUGUAAAAUUGACGCCCAUCCUUUGACCAUUUCUUUUAAUGAUCCUCCCCUUUCUAUUACCUGAUCCCUACCAAGAAAAUUUAUCAAAUAUUUCAAGAAUCCUCUAUUAAAUGUCGUUGCAUUGUUAUAUAUCUUAGAUAUAUUUCUUCAUAAUCUUUUAACCGUAAAUUCUGAAAUAACGUUCAUAUUGCAAUAAAUACGUGGAAGUAGAAAUACGCAUUAAUUUAAAGAUAAUAAACUUAUUAUCUUUAUCAGAAAGCGAUUUUGUUCUGUCAUGAAAAUAAAUCCUAUAUUCAUGUUAUUCUUGAAGAUAAAAUAUAUUAAAAUUUCUAAAUAUUUUAUUGAAAAUAAUUAUUGAUAAUAAUCUUGAUUGUACAUAUUAGCGUUAUAUUUUUCUUUUAAAAUAAUGACGUAAGAUUAAUGUUUCCCGCCAAGUAUGAUAAAAUUAUUUUGAAACGUUUUCAAUGGUUAAAUAUAAAUAUAUUAAUUUUGUAAAAUAUAAAUUUUUUUAAUUAAAAUUUAUUUUAACAUUGAAAUAUAUUUAUUUUUCAAUAUUAAAAUAUAUUUUAUAAGAAUAACUUGGUAAUAUCUUCGCGUGUACAACUCUCCCCGUGCAACGUUGCCACGAUCAAGAACCGUUCCACAUUCCUUUAUUGUUAUAUUACUCGGGCGUGCAUCCAUAGGAAUGAAUGCGGAUACACGCAGCACAAAGUUCAUUCGUGGAGAGGUUCAAAGAGGAUUUAUUCGUGACUCAAGCUAGAAUAAUCUCUCUCGACGUUUUAAAUUCCUGUGUGGUGAGAUAAAAACUAAGACAGGAUAUUAUACAAAGAGAGAGCGAGAGAGAGAGAGAGAGAGAGAGAGAGAUGACGUUAUGCUUUUCUAUAUGAACACAGCACGCAGGAAAUUUGAUAUUUCCAAGGAAAGAUAUUUACUGAUAUAUAUCGAAAGAAAACAAAGGAAAAGAAAAUAACAAAUGGACAUCUGAUUAAAUCUAUAUCAUGUUUUUGAUUACAUUUCACGAAUCACAAAUAGACUCUUAUCUAAAGAAGAAGAAACGCGAUCAUUUUACUCAAAAGUAAAAUUCUUAUUAUUUUUACACGAUAUUAUCACGUGAUACGGCGUCAUGUAAAAUUUGUAGAAUAUACGUAUGUAUUUUUCUCUAUCUUUGAUAACUUAGUCGCGUCGCGUCGCGUCGCCUCUCUCUCUCUCUCUCUCUCUCUCUCUUUUUCCAUUCAUGAUUCUAUCAGUUACGUGGCAACGGCGCCUUCGAGUGUGGGAGUGUAACGGAAGUUAGUCAAACGAGAGAGAUCAUCACAACGUAGUAUAUAUCAUAUGACAGGGCUAUACAAAUUUCUUUUUUUUUUUAAUUAUAAAUUACUACGUCAAGCAGAAAAAUAGAUACUAUUUAUUAAUUUCUUAGUUAAUUGCGUGGUUCAUUGUUCAACGUAUAUAUAUAUAUAUAUAUAUAUUAAUAUAUAUAUUAUAUUAAUAAUAAUAAUAUAUAUAUUAAUUCUUAUUUUUUAAUUUAUUCUUCCCUACUUUUUUGUUUGGUUAGGAAACGCUUAAUCUUUCGUCAUUAGAUUGUUAAAAAUCGAUUAAAAAUGUGACGUAUAAUUAUUAGUAUUGAUAUAUCGAUAUUCUACACAGAUCACGUGAUAGGAUCGAUUACUGAACGUUCAUUUCGAUAUAUACAAUGGAUCAAUGUAUGUUAAUAUAAAAUGUAUUGGUAUAAAGAGAGAAAAAAAAAUAUAUCUUUGUAAAAAUGUCUAAUAAUAUUUUUCUUUUUUUCUUUUAUAAUAUACAACUCCAUAAGAAAUAAUUAAUGAAAUAUGAAGAAAAAUAAUGAUAUAUAUUUGAGAGUUUAAUACAUAACAUUUAAUUCAUAUUAUUAAUAAUCAUAACAAAAAGGAUAUGACAAAUCAAAAUGCGAUUUUUAAAAAAGGGCGGGUAAACAAAUUACCCCCAGGAUAGUGAGUGUAUCAAAAUAAUGCAUUAUCUAUAUACGCGUGAAUUCGAUAAUGAAAAUUUAAAUAUAUAUAUAUAAAAAAAAAAAAAAAGAAAAAAAACAGGUUAUCUUUGGCGUAACGUAAUUAACGACAUAUGGAAAGAGUACUACUUGAAAAGAUAGUAAAAAAAAAAAAAAAAGAAAAGAAA